GGAACUGAGAGCAAAGCGCAUAUUGAAGAAGAAAGAGUGUGAUCCCAGGAAUUAGAUAUU
rnacentral:sRNA from 1 species